ensembl:snRNA U6 U6 spliceosomal RNA
GUGCUCAUUUUGGCAGCACAUAUAUUAAAACUGAAACAAUACAGAGAUUAGCAUGGUCCCUGUGCAAGGAUGACAUGCAAAUAUGGAAGCAUUCCAUAUUUUC